UGUGCACAACAGCCUCAGGGAGUCAGUCUGUAAAAACUGCCUCACCGGCCAGAGAAUUCCCCCGUUCGGGAUUUCACUGGGAAGUUCUAGUGUCACUUAAUGGUCUAAGAUAUUGUUUUGUUUUGUUUUUUUUUUUACACCCUGACAAAUUUUCCUGCACAGACGAUGUUGAUAUCACACAGGGAGAAGCAUCUGGAGUACCAUGCUCGAGCGGCUGGGCUGCUGAAAUCAAGGUGGCGCUGCAGGCCAGCCGGUUCAGGAAAAAGAACAGGGUCCCAGGUGAAGUAACGCUUCCCGUCCGUGUGCUCAAUGUCCAGCCAGAUGACAU